GUGGGGAAUAUUGGACAAUGGGCGCAAGCCUGAUCCAGCCAUGCCGCGUGAGUGAUGAAGGCCCUAGGGUUGUAAAGCUCUUUCACCGGUGAAGAUAAUGACGGUAACCGGAGAAGAAGCCCCGGCUAACUUCGUGCCAGCAGCCGCGGUAAUACGAAGGGGGCUAGCGUUGUUCGGAAUUACUGGGCGUAAAUCGCACGUAGGCGGACAUUUAAGUCAGGGGUGAAAUCCCGGGGCUCAACCCCGGAACUGCCUUUGAUACUGGGUGUCUGGAGUAUGGAAGAGGUAAGUGGAAUUCCGAGUGUAGAGGUGAAAUUCGUAGAUAUUCGGAGGAACACCAGUGGCGAAGGCGGCUUACUGGUCCAUUACUGACGCUGAGGUGCGAAAGCGUGGGGAGCAAACAGGAUUAGAAACCCGUGUAGUCC
rnacentral:rRNA from 1 species